rnacentral:rRNA from 1 species
GAUGAACGCUAGCGAUAGGCUUAACACAUGCAAGUCGAGGGGCAGCAUGGUCUUAGCUUGCUAAGACUGAUGGCGACCGGCGCACGGGUGCGUAACGCGUAUGCAACUUGCCUCACAGAGGGGGAUAACCCGUCGAAAGACGGACUAAUACCGCGUACACUCCAUCUUGGGCAUCCAAGGUAGAGGAAAUGAAAUUCGCUGUGAGAUAGGCAUGCGUCCCAUUAGCUAGUUGGUGAGGUAACGGCUCACCAAGGCGACGAUGGGUAGGGGAACUGAGAGGUUGAACCCCCACACUGGUACUGAGACACGGACCAGACUCCUACGGGAGGCAGCAGUGAGGAAUAUUGGUCGAUGGGCGAGAGCCUGAACCAGCCAAGUCGCGUGAAGGAUGACUGUCUUAUGGAUUGUAAACUUCUUUUAUACGGGAAUAACAAGAGUCACGUGUGACUCCCUGCAUGUACCGUAUGAAUAAGCAUCGGCUAACUCCGUG